GUUUCCCCGCCAGCCCGGGCUCCUGCGCUGAGGGACGGACGGGCGAGCGCCGAGCUGCGGCUGAGCCCUGGGACGUGGGCAGGGUCGGCGCGUUUGAAUUUUACAGUUGAGCUGUUACUGGCACGUGGGAAUUUUUCCUCUCUCCUCCCUUUAUUCCUUUUCCUUCCCUUCGGAGGGCGGUGCUUUCCCGCAGCCUUGCGCUGGAGAUGCGCCCGGACACGCCGGGAGCUUGCGGAGCGCGGCUCCCGGUGCCGCCGGCAGCCCGGCCUGAAGGUGCGGACGGUGGGGCCAUCAGCGGCCGAGUGCAUGAACUCGCUCACCGAGAAACAGCGUUUAAAAUGAGUGAAGCACUGCAGUUCAAUCACCCCACAAAAUUCUAAUACGUGAGGUGAUCCCCCCAUUUAAACUACUAAGUGUAGGUAUUUGCCUUAAUUAUUAACACACCUCUCCGUCCCUGAACUCCUUUGCUCCCCAGACCCCUUCCAACAGCAGCACGGCAGUUCGUGCCUUGCAAAUGCAGCAGCUCCGCGUUCCACUCACGCUCCACCUCCUUCCCCUUCCGCCAGCUGCUGCGGGACAUCCCUUCCUUACCCCAUCAGGGAACUGCCGCGUGCAGAGGUGCCAAGGGAAAUGUAGCACUCGUUUGGUUAUUGCCUUUGUAAGGGGUCAGGCCUGAAUGCCUGUAAAUCAGGAGCAGAACUUGCAAAGAAGCAGCUGCCUGUCUCGGUAUGAACAAGAAGAUGCAAAAGACUUAGGGAGACGUGGAGCAAUGGACUGAGUAACUAAACUGUUCUCUACAAGUAGCCUAAAUUCUUUCAAAAGGACUCUAUGUUAUCUUCAGUCAGAAGUUAAUGCGCUGGUGGCUCUACAAGCAUGUAUAUCUUCAAAAAAAAGGAGUUCUUGGAUUAUACAAAGUAAAUUAGUACCACUGAAGAUGAGGGUUGUUUUAAAACAAGUCUCACAGGCCUUCCAUACUCAGGGAAAGAACAUCAGCUCGUCUUCCUUUUUUCCCCAGCUGUUAUACCACCUUUCUGUCCCCUUUUAUGUUAGCUACAAAUGCAGGUUUACCUUGUAAGUAUUUCCAAGGCUGCUGCAAGUAUGCAUUCCGUUUUAACCUUCACUUCUCAGUACACUAUUGCUUUGCUCGUAUCCCAAAUUGUCACAAUAUAAAAGCUGGUGAAAGGUUCCUGCUAAUAAAUUCCUUCUUCUUCUACCUCAUCAUCAAGUGUUCUCCAAGUUAGUCUAGUCUAGUCCAAGUCUCAAGAUACCAGUACUGAGCUUUGCCCUAAUGAUGAGAUUAGGAAAUACUUUCCUAUUAACUAUUAGAAAUAGCAAUAAAUUUACUUGUGGAGAUCUGGAAUUUCCUUCUCUCCACUCAUACUCAGCACUCCCAUUUUAACAAACUACAAGAUGUAGUUUAUCAUGGCAAGAUUCUCACAAACUGAAAGGCUGUUUUUAGAUCCUGUAAAGAGAUUUCCAGAACUCUACAUAUAAAUUCUGCCCUUCUGUUUAUAGCUGGAAGGACAAGUGUACCAGCGUGGGAAAAAUGGUCCUGUAGCUUUUAAGAACAAGAUUUCAAAAUUAGAAUGAAGUCUCCCUCAUCCCUCCAUAGAAGUUAUAUGUAAUUUUAAAAAUGUGUUGCAAAAAAAGUAGUGCCAUCCACAUUUACCUGAGCCCCCUUACUAUGCACAAGAAAAAGAAGGCAGUAGAAGAAAGGAGAGGAGGGAAAAAGAAGACAAGAUGCAUGCUCUCAAAGACUUUUCUUACCUCUGAACUUCAUUGAGCUUUUACAUAUAGUUGGCAUGAAGUACUACAGAAGAUUGUAUGUGCUGGGUUCUUGUUUUAGGGUGAAGAUGUACAUCAGUGUAAGUAGUAGGAAGUUCUGCAGGCAGGUUACUGCCAAUAUGUGCAUUAAUGGCAUACAAGGAUCAUUUGAAAAAUCAUGUUUUGUUUCAAUUAACCCCAAAUAAUACUAAGCUGAAUGAGAAGCGCUGACCUUCUCAGUUUCAGAGGCUCACAGAAGAGGAGAGCUGAGAUUGCAAGGGAUCUCUAGAUAAAUUCUUGUCCAAACCCUAGCUCAAAAGUGGGGUCAAAUGGAGCAAAUUGUUCUGAGUUGUGUUCAGCCAAGCUUUGAAUAUCUCCAAUAAUGGUGACUCCACAGCCUCUCUGGGCAGCUUCUUCCCAUGUUUGACUGAAAGAAGUUCUUCCCUUACAUUUAACGAAAACUUUGUGUAUUGCAAUUUGUGCCUGCAGCCUCAUGUCCUUUCACUGGGCACCACUAGAAGAACAUGGCUAUUUUUAAUUUUUUUUUAUUUUAAAUUUUAUUUGUAAUUUUAUUUUGCAAUUCCUAGAAUGCUUAAAGCAUUUGUUAAAUUCAGACCACCUGCAGAGAAAUCAGCAGUGCUGCUCAUAGCACAAGAAGAUAACAGGGUGCUUGAGACAUUGCAGCACCAUGGUUUGGGAGAAUUCUUACAACUCAUCUCUCAGAUAUGCUCAAUGUAAGUUAUCUCCAUACAUAUACAUGUAUAUAUACACACAUAUAUAUAUGUGUGUAUGUAUUAUACACCAUAUAUAUGAUCAGCAGAUAAUGGUCAGUACUCAACAUAAUUAGCCCCUCAAUCAAUAUUAUGCUUUUACUCCUGUGCAUUUUUAAUUCUAGUGGUGAACUAGUAGUUUGCAGCUUCCAGAACCACAGUUGUCACUGCUGUACUAGUCCCACUUUGUGUAUAGUGUUGGUUGUGUGAUAUUUAUAUGAAAACCUGUUUCUUGUUUCAUACUAGAGGACUAAUUGUCCUGACCCUUAUUUCAGCUGCACCUAGCCCAAACUAGGUAGCUGUUCUUUUGAAAAUAAUUACUUGGCAAAUACAGAAGUCUGCUGUAUUUUAAGAAAAGAAAGGUCUCAGAAAAACAAGUUAAUCUCUCACAAAGUAGGAAUGAAUAAACAAAAUGAUCAAU